GACGAACGCUGGCGGCGUGCUUAACACAUGCAAGUCGAACGGAAAGGCCCUGCUUUUGUGGGGUGCUCGAGUGGCGAACGGGUGAGUAACACGUGAGUAACCUGCCCUUGACUUUGGGAUAAAUUCAGGAAACUGGGGCUAAUACCGGAUAGGAGCUCCUGCUGCAUGGUGGGGGUUGGAAAGUUUCGGCGGUUGGGGAUGGACUCGCGGCUUAUCAGCUUGUUGGUGGGGUAGUGGCUUACCAAGGUUUUGACGGGUAGCCGGCCUGAGAGGGUGACCGGCCACAUUGGGACUGAGAUACGGCCCAGACUCCUACGGGAGGCAGCAGUGGGGAAUAUUGCACAAUGGGCGGAAGCCUGAUGCAGCAACGCCGCGUGCGGGAUGACGGCCUUCGGGUUGUAAACCGCUUUCGCCUGUGACGAAGCGUGAGUGACGGUAAUGGGUAAAGAAGCACCGGCUAACUACGUG
rnacentral:rRNA from 1 species